ensembl:misc_RNA 7SK 7SK RNA
AGACAGAUGAUCUGGCUGUGACAUCUGUCACCCCAUUAAUCUCCAGGAUUGACUCGGUUAAUCUGGCUGGCUAGUCCUCCUUCUCUCUCAUCACUCUCUAUGCACCUUUCCCGAAGCUUCAUGCUCUGUGGAAAAGGUCAGCCUUCUCUGAUACAAGGACUGUCCUGAUCUUCGAUCAAGGCUGUGCUCCUUUGCUAGAACUUCCAAACAAGAUCAGUCAACAAGCACUGAGGUUAUUAUUAUUGUUAUGAAUAUUAAUAGUAUCAUUUUAAAUAU